rnacentral:rRNA from 1 species
UGGGGAAUCUUGGACAAUGGGGGCAACCCUGAUCCAGCCAUGCCGCGUGUGUGAAGAAGGCCUUCGGGUUGUAAAGCACUUUCAGCGAGGAGGAAAAGCAGCGGUUAAUACCCGACUGUUUUGACGUUACUCGCAGAAGAAGCACCGGCUAAUUUCGUGCCAGCAGCCGCGGUAAUACGAAAGGUGCGAGCGUUAAUCGGAAUUACUGGGCGUAAAGCGCGCGUAGGCGGCUCGUUAAGUCAGAUGUGAAAGCCCCGGGCUUAACCUGGGAACUGCACCUGAUACUGACGGGCUAGAGUGCAGUAGAGGGAGGUGGAAUUCCAGGUGUAGCGGUGAAAUGCGUAGAGAUCUGGAGGAACACCAGUGGCGAAGGCGGCCUCCUGGACUGACACUGACGCUGAGGUGCGAAAGCGUGGGUAGCAAACA